AGAGUUUGAUCAUGGCUCAGAUUGAACGCUGGCGGCAGGCCUAACACAUGCAAGUCGAGCGGUAGCACGGGAGAGCUUGCUCUCUGGGUGACGAGCGGCGGACGGGUGAGUAAUGUCUGGGAAACUGCCUGAUGGAGGGGGAUAACUACUGGAAACGGUAGCUAAUACCGCAUAACGUCUACGGACCAAAGUGGGGGACCUUCGGGCCUCACGCCAUCAGAUGUGCCCAGAUGGGAUUAGCUAGUAGGUGGGGUAAUGGCUCACCUAGGCGACGAUCCCUAGCUGGUCUGAGAGGAUGACCAGCCACACUGGAACUGAGACACGGUCCAGACUCCUACGGGAGGCAGCAGUGGGGAAUAUUGCACAAUGGGCGCAAGCCUGAUGCAGCCAUGCCGCGUGUGUGAAGAAGGCCUUCGGGUUGUAAAGCACUUUCAGCGAGGAGGAAGGGCGAUGUCUUAAUACGGCAUCGCAUUGACGUUACUCGCAGAAGAAGCACCGGCUAACUCCGUGCCAGCAGCCGCGGUAAUACGGAGGGUGCAAGCGUUAAUCGGAAUUACUGGGCGUAAAGCGCACGCAGGCGGUUUGUUAAGUCAGAUGUGAAAUCCCCGCGCUUAACGUGGGAACUGCAUUUGAAACUGGCAAGCUAGAGUCUCGUAGAGGGGGGUAGAAUUCCAGGUGUAGCGGUGAAAUGCGUAGAGAUCUGGAGGAAUACCGGUGGCGAAGGCGGCCCCCUGGACGAAGACUGACGCUCAGGUGCGAAAGCGUGGGGAGCAAACAGGAUUAGAUACCCUGGUAGUCCACGCUGUAAACGAUGUCGAUUUGGAGGUUGUGCCCUUGAGGCGUGGCUUCCGGAGCUAACGCGUUAAAUCGACCGCCUGGGGAGUACGGCCGCAAGGUUAAAACUCAAAUGAAUUGACGGGGGCCCGCACAAGCGGUGGAGCAUGUGGUUUAAUUCGAUGCAACGCGAAGAACCUUACCUACUCUUGACAUCCAGAGAACUUNNNNNNNNNNUCGGGAACUCUGAGACAGGUGCUGCAUGGCUGUCGUCAGCUCGUGUUGUGAAAUGUUGGGUUAAGUCCCGCAACGAGCGCAACCCUUAUCCUUUGUUGCCAGCGAUUCGGUCGGGAACUCAAAGGAGACUGCCGGUGAUAAACCGGAGGAAGGUGGGGAUGACGUCAAGUCAUCAUGGCCCUUACGAGUAGGGCUACACACGUGCUACAAUGGCGUAUACAAAGAGAAGCGAGCUCGCGAGAGUAAGCGGACCUCAUAAAGUACGUCGUAGUCCGGAUUGGAGUCUGCAACUCGACUCCAUGAAGUCGGAAUCGCUAGUAAUCGUAGAUCAGAAUGCUACGGUGAAUACGUUCCCGGGCCUUGUACACACCGCCCGUCACACCAUGGGAGUGGGUUGCAAAAGAAGUAGGUAGCUUAACCUUCGGGAGGGCGCUUACCACUUUGUGAUUCAUGACUGGGGUGAAGUCGUAACAAGGUAACCGUAGGGGAACCUGCGGUUGGAUCACCU
rnacentral:rRNA from 1 species